rnacentral:rRNA from 1 species
AACGAACGCUGGCGGCAUGCCUAACACAUGCAAGUCGAACGAAGUCUUCGGACUUAGUGGCGCACGGGUGCGUAACGCGUGGGAAUCUGCCCUUAGGUACGGAAUAACUCAGGGAAACUUGAGCUAAUACCGUAUGAUGUCUUCGGACCAAAGAUUUAUCGCCUAGGGAUGAGCCCGCGUUGGAUUAGCUAGUUGGUGGGGUAAAGGCCUACCAAGGCGACGAUCCAUAGCUGGUCUGAGAGGAUGAUCAGCCACACUGGGACUGAGACACGGCCCAGACUCCUACGGGAGGCAGCAGUGGGGAAUAUUGGACAAUGGGCGAAAGCCUGAUCCAGCAAUGCCGCGUGAGUGAUGAAGGCCUUAGGGUUGUAAAGCUCUUUUACCCGGGAAGAUAAUGACUUACC